rnacentral:rRNA from 1 species
CCUUACACAUGCAAGUCGAACGGCAGCACGGGAGCAAUCCUGGUGGCGAGUGGCGAACGGGUGAGUAAUAUAUCGGAACGUGCCCGGUCGUGGGGGAUAACGUAGCGAAAGCUACGCUAAUACCGCAUACGAUCUACGGAUGAAAGCGGGGGAUCGCAAGACCUCGCGCGAUUGGAGCGGCCGAUAUCAGAUUAGGUAGUUGGUGAGGUAAAGGCUCACCAAGCCUGCGAUCUGUAGCUGGUCUGAGAGGACGACCAGCCACACUGGGACUGAGACACGGCCCAGACUCCUACGGGAGGCAGCAGUGGGGAAUUUUGGACAAUGGGCGCAAGCCUGAUCCAGCAAUGCCGCGUGCAGGAUGAAGGCCUUCGGGUUGUAAACUGCUUUUGUACGGAACGAAACGGUGAGCUCUAAUACAGUUUGCUAAUGACGGUACCGUAAGAAUAAGCACCGGCUAACUACGUG